GACGAACGCUGGCGGCGUGCCUAAUACAUGCAAGUAGAACGCUGAAGGAGGAGCUUGCUUCUCCGGAUGAGUUGCGAACGGGUGAGUAACGCGUAGGUAACCUGCCUGGUAGCGGGGGAUAACUAUUGGAAGCGAUAGCUAAUACCGCAUAAGAGUAGAUGUCGCAUGACAUUUGCUUAAAAGGUGCAACUGCACCACUACCAGAUGGACCUGCGUUGUAUUAGCUAGUUGGUGAGGUAACGGCUCACCAAGGCAACGAUACAUAGCCGACCUGAGAGGGGGGUCGGCCACACUGGGACUGGGACACGGCCCAGACUCCUACGGGAGGCAGCAGUAGGGAAUCUUCGGCAAUGGACGGAAGUCUGACCGAGCAACGCCGCGUGAGUGAAGAAGGUUUUCGGAUCGUAAAGAUCUGUUGUAAGAGAAGAACGAGUGUGAGAGUGGAAAGUUCACACUGUGACGGUAGCUUACCAGAAAGGGACGGCUAACUACGUG
rnacentral:rRNA from 1 species